AGUGAACGCUGGCGGUAGGCCUAACACAUGCCAGUCGAACGGCAGCACAGUAAGAGCUUGCUCUUACGGGUGGCGAGUGGCGGACGGGUGAGGAAUACAUCGGAAUCUACUUUUUCGUGGGGGAUAACGUAGGGAAACUUACGCUAAUACCGCAUACGACCUACGGGUGAAAGCAGGGGAUCUUCGGACCUUGCGCGAUUGAAUGAGCCGAUGUCGGAUUAGCUAGUUGGCGGGGUAAAGGCCCACCAAGGCGACGAUCCGUAGCUGGUCUGAGAGGAUGAUCAGCCACACUGGAACUGAGACACGGUCCAGACUCCUACGGGAGGCAGCAGUGGGGAAUAUUGGGCAAUGGGCGCAAGCCUGAUCCAGCCCUACCGCGUGGGUGAAGAAGGCCUUCGGGUUGUAAAGCCCUUUUGUUGGGAAAGAAAAGCAGCAGGUUAAUACCCCGCUGUUCUGACGGUACCCAAAGAAUAAGCACCGGCUAACUUCGUG
rnacentral:rRNA from 1 species